rnacentral:lncRNA from 1 species
UAAUUAUUUCAAAGCAUUAGUUUUCACUAGCCAUGGAAAUCUUCACAAAGAAACUCACUCCUAUUGAUUUUGAUAGAGGAUUGGAGCUACCUGAUAAACCACGAAGGUCUAAUAGGGUGCCUAUCAAGAAUCCAAGAUAUGAGGGUUGAGCUGGGACACGUAUUAUGAGGAUUCAGCUGUGGGCAAUUGCUGAAUUUGUUUAAUUUGUUUUUUUUGAAUUGGUCAAUAAAGUUAGAAGGAAUAAGUCAAUUAGUGGGGGCUAUUUCUCUGUCAACUAGCCGUUCCACGUCCUUCUAAUUAGCGAAGUAGUUAAGUUUUUAUUUGUAUUUAAAUCAUUGUUUCCAGCAAGUUGAGGACAAGAAAAGUAUUACAAGGUUUAUUCUCACCUUAAGCAGAGUAUUUUCUUAUUUUCUUAAAGGCUUUGACUGGGACCUAACAUUGGUAUCAGAGCUUUCACACUAUGACUACCAAUAAAGAGAGGAUCGAGAAUUUAGAAGCAGCUAUUGGGGGACUUCAAGACAAUUUCAACAAGAUGGAACUGGGUGUUACUGACAAAUUACAACAGCUAGAGGCUGCUAUUAGCAGAAUUUCUGAAGUACUGCUUCCAAGGCAAGAGCCGAACUCUAGCAAUGUCCAAGAACGCAGUGGACAAGCCUUUGGUGCGCGAUCUCGUGACACCACAGACGGUGGCCGCUCAAUGUUCUCCUCCAAAUUGGCUAAGCUCGAAUUUCCCAAGUAUUUUGGUACUGACCCAACUGAAUGGCUCACGCGUGUUGAUCAAUUUUUUGAAUACCAGGGCACUUUGGAAGCACAAAAAGUGUCUUUGGCUUCUUUUCAUUUGGAAGGCGAAGCAAAUCAAUGGUGGCAGUGGUUACGCAAGGCUUAUCAUGAGGACAAAAAGGAGGUAUCAUGGGAGAUUUUUGUGGAAGAAUUAUGGGCUCGUUUUGGUCCCACGGAUUGCGAAGAUUUUGAUGAGUCUUUAUCAAAAAUAAGGCAAACGGGAUCCUUACGGGAAUAUCAGAAAGAAUUUGAGAGGCUGGGAAACAGAGUGCAAGGGUGGACUCCGAAGGCUUUGGUGGGUACUUUUAUGGGUGGUCUCAAGCCUGAAAUUGCUGAUGGAAUUCGGAUGUUUAAGCCAAAGUCCUUGAAAGAAGCCAUCAGUUUGGCACGGAUGAGAGAUGAGCAGAUGAUUCGUCAAGAGAAACCACAUCGGCCACUCUACAGAACCUCUGAUCAUUCUGAUCGACCAUUCAAGCACACUGACGUCUCUAAUCGUCCAUUCACCAGGUCUGUUGGCGUCUCUUCACCUUUUAAAACCCGUCUGCAUCACCUAUGAAGCGAUUAACAUGGUCUGAGAUGCAACAAAGGCGUGCUCAAGGCCUUUGCUUCAAUUGUGAUGAAAGGUUUGUAUUGGGGCACAAAUGUAAGGGGCCGCAGCUGUUAUUGCUUGAAAGCAGUUAUGAAGAUGAUGAGAUUGAUAAUGAGGAACCUGAAAUUUCACUCCAUGCUCUCACGGGGUGGUCAACAGCUAGAACCAUGAGAGUCUCGGCCAAAGUGGGACAUCAUGAAUUGAUUGUGCUUAUUGACAGUGGGUCAACCCAUAAUUUCAUCAAUGAACGGGUAGCUGAAAUAUUGCAUUUACCGGUGGUGCCCACUGAACCCUUUGCUGUGAAAGUGGCUAACGGAGUUCCGCUAAGGUGUCAGGGGAGAUUUGACAAUGUGCAUGUCUUAUUGCAAGGUAUUCCAUUUACCUUAACUCUUUAUUGGGUUGGAUAUGGUGUUGGGAGUCCAGUGGCUAGAACAGUUGGGAACGGUGGGUUGUGAUUGGAAGAGGAUGACGAUGAAGUUUUCAUGGAUGAAUCAGCAUCAUCAAUUGGAAGGAAUUGGCAAUCAACCAAUUCAGCCGAUACAGGUUCAAGCACUGUCGAAGGAGCUGAAGCAGGGCAAUUCUAUUUUUGCUGUGUGUCUACAGCCGGCUGGGGAAGAAACACCACAGAUGAACCGACCUGAUAUGCAACAAUUGUUACAAGAAUUUGCGGACAUUCAUCAAGAACCACAACAGCUCCCUCCCCAAAGAGAAAUAGACCACCACAUCACCCUCAAAGAAGGAACUGAGCCCAUCAAUGUCCGGCCAUACAGGUAUGCCUAUUUUCAAAAAGCUGAGAUUGAAAAGCAAGUUCAUGACAUGUUAAAAUUGGGGCUAAUUAGAUCUAGCACAAGUCCAUUUUCUUCUCCUGUGUUGUUAGUNNNNNNNNNNNNNNNNNNNNNNNNNNNNNNNNNNNNNNNNNNNNNNNNNNNNNNNNNNNNNNNNNNNNNNNNNNNNNNNNNNNNNNNNNNNNNNNNNNNNNNNNNNNNNNNNNNNNNNNNNNNNNNNNNNNNNNNNNNNNNNNNNNNNNNNNNNNNNNNNNNNGUCCGGGUCCAAUCCCCUUAGGAAUAUCCACCCAAAAGCUGGCGUGUGGCACACACAAAUGGGUCAUUAUGGAGUAAUUUAGGUUAUGCCCGUUUAGGUUUAAUGUAAUGACUCCUUCCCACGAUUUCAGGGCGGUCAAUGAAUUUCCAUAUUUUCGUUCCUUUACGUUCGCAAAAUUUGUAUUUAGUUUUCUUUGAUGAUAUUCCUAAAUCUAUAGCCCCCCAAUUGGACCCAUGCAUAUUGAAACAUGUUAAACCACCUUUUGAAAUAUUAAGGCAUCAUCAGUUUUUCAUCAAAUUGAAUAAGUGUGUGUUUGGGCAACAAGAGGUGAAGUAUUUGGGGUCACAUUGUGACGUCCCAAGGUGUGAAGGCCGACAAGGGCAAAAUUCAAUCUAUGCUUAAUUGGCCCUGCCCAACUAAUGUUUCUGAAUUGCGAGGGUUCUUAGGCCUUACAGGUUACUACCGGAAGUUUGUUCGCAAUUAUGGAAUCAUUGCCCGACCACUCACAAAUCUUUUGAAGAAGGGGCUAUUUCGGUGGACAGAGGAGGCAGAUGCGGCAUUCCUUGCCUUGAAGCAAGCGAUGACUUCAACUCCUACGCUUGCUAUGCCUAAUUUUAAUGAACCUUUUGUCAUUGAAACUGAUGCUUCAGGUACUGGUAUUGGGGCGGUGUUAACUCAGCACGGGAGACCCAUUGCAUUCAUGAGCCGAGCAUUGGGGGUCACUAAACUGUCAUGGUCCACAUAUGCCAAAGAAAUGCUUGCCAUUGUUCAAGCUAUUCGGUUGUGGCGUCCGUACUUGCUGGGCAGGAAAUUUUUCAUACACACUGAUCAUUGCAGCCUCAAGUACUUGAUGGAGCAGCGCAUUGUCACCCCAGAACAGCAGAAAUGGGUGUCCAAAUUAGUAGGGUAUGACUACGAAAUCACUUAUAAGCCGGGAAAGGAGAAUUCUGCCGCUGAUGCCUUAUCAAGAGUAAUUGGCAGCCCUAGCCUUAAUGCACUAUUUGUUCCUCAAGCAUCUUUGUGGCAGACUCUCAAGGAGGAAGCCAACCAGCAUCCUUACAUGAUCCGUAUUGGCAAACUUGCUACUGCCAAUCCGGGAGCUCCCUAUAAAUGGUUGAAUGGUUUGGUGUGUUACAAUAACCGAGUAGUCAUUCCCCCUAAUUCAACUCUUGUCCAGCUUCUAUUACAGGAAUUCCAUGAUUCACCUUCUGGAGGUCAUUCGGGGGUGUUACGCACAUACAAAAGAAUGGCGCAACAAUUUUAUUGGCCAUCCAUGCAUAGAGUGGUUCAGCAAUAUGUUGCUUCUUGCACGGUUUGCCAAAAGAAUAAGGCUGAUACUUUAUCUCCAGCCGGGCUUCUACAACCGCUGCCAGUUCCUUGUCAAAUCUGGGACGAUAUUACCAUGGAUUUCAUUGAAGGGUUACCACCUUCUAAUGGUAAAAGCACCAUUUUUGUGGUCGUGGACCGUUUAAGCAAAUCUGCUCAUUUUUUGGCUUUAGCACAUCCUUACACGGCCAAAAUGGUUGCUGAGAAAUUUGUGGAGGGGAUUGUCAAGCUUCAUGGCAUGCCGAAGUCCAUUAUUAGUGAUCGGGAUCCUAUCUUCAUCAGUCAUUUUUGGCGUGAAUUCUUCAAGAUGUCAGGGACAAAGCUGCACAUGAGUUCCGCUUAUCAUCCCCAAACCGACGGUCAAUCGGAGGUGGUUAACAGGUGUGUUGAGCAGUAUCUUCGAUGUUUUGUUUCUCAACAACCUCGAAAGUGGUGUUCUUUUCUUGCAUGGGCUGAAUUUUGGUACAACACCACAUUCCAUUCCUCUAUCGGGAUGUCUCCUUUUCAAGCUCUCUAUGGCCGACCACCACCGAGCAUCCCGAAUUAUCAGAUUGGGGCCUCUUCAGUGCACGAGGUGGAUCAGACUAUGAUUUCUCGUACUUCUCUUUUACGUCAGCUCAAAAUUAAUCUGCAGGCUGCAAUUAAUCGAAUGAAGCAGGGGGCUGAUUCCAAAAGACGGGACGUGAACUUCCAAGUGGGGGAUUUAGUCUUUCUCAAACUACAUCCUUAUCGCCAACAAUCUCUGUUUCGGAGACCAGCUCAGAAGUUGGCCAGCCGUUUUUAUGGUCCUUAUAAGGUUGAGGAAAAGGUGGGAAAGGUUGCUUACAAGCUUCAGCUUCCUACAGAUGCUCGAAUACACCCUGUUUUUCAUGUUUCACUUCUCAAGAAGCAAGUUGGAGAGUCCACGGUCACCAGCGCAGAACUGCCUCCCAUUACUGAUGAUGGUGAGUUUGUUUUAAAACCUAUUGCUGUGUUGGAAACCCGAUGGGUGCGGAAAGGGUCUACUUUUGUUGAGGAACUCCUUGUCCAAUGGGAACACUUGUCAAAGGAGGAUGCUACGUGGGAAAAUGCACAGGAGCUGCGUGACAAGUUUCUGUCCUUCAACCUUGAGGACAAGGUUCUAAUUCAAGACAGGGGCAAUGAUAAACCACGAAGGUCUAAUAGGGUGCCUAUCAAGAAUCCAAGAUAUGAGGGUUGAGCUGGGACACGUAUUAUGAGGAUUCAGCUGUGGGCAAUUGCUGAAUUUGUUUAAUUUGUUUUUUUUGAAUUGGUCAAUAAAGUUAGAAGGAAUAAGUCAAUUAGUGGGGGCUAUUUCUCUGUCAACUAGCCGUUCCACGUCCUUCUAAUUAGCGAAGUAGUUAAGUUUUUAUUUGUAUUUAAAUCAUUGUUUCCAGCAAGUUGAGGACAAGAAAAGUAUUACAAGGUUUAUUCUCACCUUAAGCAGAGUAUUUUCUUAUUUUCUUAAAGGCUUUGACUGGGACCUAACACUACCACCCCGUUCUAACCUAGAACCCCUGCAACAUUUUCAAGGGACCAUAGAAUUGUCCACCAUAGUUGAGUCAGCUGCAGGAACCCGUUUACCGGAACCAGUGACAAUUCACUGCUCAACCAAAAGCGGAAGCCUUGUAUUUAAAACAGGUUGGUAUGCUAUUGCUCGCGAUGUUGGCCUCAAAAGUGGAGACACUGUGACUUUCUAUCAGGAGGUUAACGGAGGAGCACAGUUCAAAUUGAAAGUGAGAAAUGUUCGUUAAAGUAAAGAAGAAAUGUGAGGGAAACAGUGUCUUCCAUACAUGCAUGAACGUCCGAGUGCACGUCCUUUUUUUUCUUCUUUGUUCUGUCUCCUGCAAUCUUCGUGUCUAGUUUCUGUCCGGUGUCAGCAGUUGAGAAAACUUUUCUCAAAAUCAUCUCCUGCAAUCUUCGUCUCUGGUUUCCACAAUUCCUUGCAUGUGUGAGGAAAUUAUGAAUAAUUAGUUUCUUCUUUAGAUGAAAGAGUUUGUCUGUGAUUGUAAUGUGUUUUGAGCUUUAAUUUUGUGAUUUUUGGUAACAAAAUUAUUAUGUGUUGUGAAUUACUUUAAAAACUUCAAUGAGAUGUGAUUUGAUUCAUCAGCUUAAACUGAAAUUAUAUAUUAAAAUGGUCGAGGGAUAUAUAGCUGGAAGCAAGUAUUUGACUGAAAGUGAUUCAAAACCACUUAUCAUCUUUCGUGCAUAAAUUGUACUAACUUCAUUCUCUCUUUAUUCAAUGCCAUUUAUCGACCAAUUAAUCGUCAACAGAAGAAAACCAAACGAUGAACGUCGCAUAAUAUUUAUUAUAAAAAAAAAAUAAUUGAAUGCUUGGAGAUGGUUGCCAACUAGCAUUUCUAUCCCAAAACCCUAAGACCAAUUCGACAGAAAAGAAAUUGCUUUUGAAAAGUCAUUAAAUGUUGAUAAGAGUUUGAAAUUGAUGAAAAAUAGAAUAAACAUCAGAUUUUGCAACAAGUGACUUCCACAAAUAGUGCCUUCUCUUUUGCUGGAAUUUGGAAAGGUAUUGUCUCUCCUAAGGUAGAGAUCUUUUGUUGGAUGGCUAUCAUUAACCGAAUCAACACCCGGAGUAUGUUGGUUCGAAGAGAUAUUUUGGGUAGCUCAGAAUCUAAUUGCCCUAUAUGCCUAGUGGAGGAAGAGUCGGUGGACCAUAUCCUGCUGCACUGCCAUAAGCAUUGGCUCAUUUGGUCCAAAAUCAUUAAGUGGUGGGGUUUAGUUUGGUGCUGCCCAGAGAGCUUCUCAGAUUUGUGGUCGCAGUGGACUUCCCUGGUACAUUGUCACUUUCAGAGGAAGGCGUGGCUGAUGUUGUUCUUCUCAGUGGCAUGGUCUCUUUGGCUUCUUUGAAAUGAUCUAAUUUUCCAACAGAAGACACCUGACUAUGAUUCAAUAUUAUUUCUUUUUAUCACCCGUUUAUGCCUACGGCUAAAAGCUAUCCAUUCUGAUUUCCCAUACUCCCCUACAGAUCUGAUCAGAUCGGCAGAUGACCUGCUUUGGUGGUCCAAUGCUCACUCUUUCAGAAUUAUAAUAUGUGGUCUCCUCCUAUGAUUAAUAGCCUUAAAUGGAACGUAGAUGGCUCUUCUCUUGGUAAGCCAGGCCCCUCUGGAAUAGAUGGUGUGCUGCAAAAUCACCAUGGCCAUCUUCUUGGUAUGUUCUCUAUUCCAGUUGGGAUUUUAGACUCUAAUAUUGCUGAGUUAAGGGUUAUUGUCAAAGCCAUUGAACUAUCAGCAUCUAAUUGUCUCCUCCACCAUCAACAUCUCAUCAUAGAAUCUGACUCUGCCAAUGUUAUUAGCUGGAUGCAUAAGCCUCACAUCCGUCCCUGGAAGCAUCACAAUCUUUUCUCCUCUGUCAAUAGACUGAAUGCAUUUUUUGGCUCAAUCACCUUUGUCGCACGUGAAAUGUGUCGCGGCGAUCGCCCACCCACACUCAAUUGUGUGUGGGUCUGGAAAAUAUAGGGAGACAAGGAAUUCUUGUCUCUUAUCAGUGGAAAAAAUAGAAUGGGAGUCGCCACCUAGUAUUCUGGUCACUAGGAACCCUAACUGGUCUCAGAGAUCGGGUACGGAGACUGGUUGUGUAAAGGGAAGGUAUUAACACCCCAAAUACGCCCUACCUAAAGGUAAGCUGCAUUGUUUUAUUUGUCUGAUCAAAAUCUAAGGUUUGGUCGCGUUUUCUAAUUGUUGGUCCUGGCUGUCUAAGAUUCAAGAAAGCCCUCCUCAGUAAGGAGGUUCUUAUCUAUGGGGCAAGCCUAACCGUUCUAAUAUCUAUAAAAGAAAACUAUCUUUUUAAUAUUGGGAAUACGUUUUACAUAUAAAUUCAUAAUCCUUGAUAUUUAAAAGAAAAAAAUAUUUUUUGAUUUUUUUGAAAUAUUGGCCAAGUUCUCGUGACUUUAAUAAACUGGUUAUUAAAGCCGAAAUGCAUGCUAAAACAUUUUUUUUUUGAAGUUUUCUUUGUUGUAUGAAAAUAUGAUGUAAUUUUUUCUUUAAGAGACUUGGCCGUAUGCAUGAAAACAAAAACAUUUUUUUUUUCAAAGUUUUGACGAAAACCGGGUAUUUUAAUACCGGAUUUGUAUCUUUAUGGUAUAAAAAUACAAACCAAUAUUAAACAAAAUUCCAUAACAAAAUACACGGGGAAAUCACAAAUUUUUCCGAAAAUAUUUUUUUGAAAAUUUUUGGAACUGGGCCAGACCCGGCCCAAAAAAAAAAAACUGGGCCGAAUAAGCUACAGGGCUGGACUCAGCCCAGCCGCGUGGGCUGGGCUGAUGUUCCCACCCAAAAGAACAACAGGCCGGUUGCUGGUUACUGUGCUGAGAACAGUAACCAUUGAAUUAUAAUUAGGUGGUUACUGUGCUCUACACAGUAACCACCUAAUUAUAUUUCAUUUGCUGCAGAACGUGAAUUGCUCACGUUCUGCAUGCAAAUGAAGGCGAACCAAAAAAUGGACAGCAGAGGGGGAAGAGGGUUACCUGGAAUGAGCCUGGAUAGAUGGGCUGACGGUGGUGCUGGUGACCAAUUUGGCGGUGGUGUUGCUGCGGCCUUCUUCCUCCUCCCUGCUGUUUCGGUGCUGCUUUUUCUCUUUAUUUCCUUUGCUCCCUCUGUCAACAACGUUCUUCUCUCUCUGCAGCGGCUUCGUGGAGAUGCUGGUGGUGGCGGCCUGGGGGAGUGGCUUGGACGAUGGUCGGCCUUUCUUCCUCUUCUUCUCUGCGUUUUUCUUCAGCUCUGUUCGCCUUUGUUUCUGUUUCUUCCUUCUGCUUCUCACGGGGCUGUUGUCGACUGGGAGGGCAAUGGCAGCUGGCGGUGAUGCUGGUGGCGGUGGAGAGGAAUCCGACUAUGCCUCACGGUGGUUAUGAAGGUGGCAGUGGCUGGGAAGCCCGAUGACAGCAGCGGUUUUCUUCUUCUUCUUCCCCGUGCAGAGGCGCAGGUUGCUGCCUUUUCUUCAAUGGUGCAGCAACGGGUGGGAGGAAGAUGAUGAGCUGAGGAAGGCUGACUAUGGCGUGGGCAGUGCUGCUGUGUUUGUGCUCCUGGUGGCGUGGGUGUCGCGGCAGCCGGCUGUGGUCGCUCUUCCUCUUCUCUUUUCUGUCAUUGCUUCUUCUCUCUGUUUCUGUCACCUUGUUUCUCUCCAAACAAUUCUCUGUCUCUCUCUCUCGGUUUCCCCUUCUUUCUCUUUUUUUCUACUCCUUCUCUGUGUUGUCAUUCUCUCUUUUUUUACCCCCCUCAUUCGGCACCCCCUCCUCGAGUAUUUAUAGGCAAAGGAGGAGAGGUUCACCAUACCCUGUACAAGCACAGGGCAUGGUGGUCGGGGCAUGGGUCUUCUGCUUUUCGUCAUGGUGGGGGGCAUGGGUCUCCUGUUUCUCCAUUAAUGAGGGUAUGGGUUGUGUAAGUAGUUAGGCAAGUGGGGAGGUAGAGAAGGAGAGGGUGAGCGGGAAAAAGAUUUCAAAAAUCUUCUUCUCCCUUGUCUCUGCAUUUGCAGGGGAGAAAAGCUGCACAGUGCCGUUCAAAACGGCACCGUGCAGUUUUUUUUUUUUUUUUUUUGAAGAAAAGGAAAAAAGAUUUGGGGUGACCCAAAAAUGGGUUAUGACAGUUGCCCCCCUCUUUACAAUGCUUACGGAGCAAAGACUUUGCGUAGUAAGCUUGUAAAGAAAACAAAAGGAAAGAAAAUGAUCUGAUUAUCUUGGGCAACCUGCCCACACACGCUCACAGUAGUCUAUUUUCAGGGGCGACCAACCCACACACUCACACUGGUCUAUUUUCACGGGCGACCUGCCCACACACGCUCACACUGGUCUAUUUUCAUGGGCGACCUGCCCAAGUAGAAAAAGAAAGAGUGGUCUCAUUGUAAUGGGUGACCUACCCAGGUAAAGGAAUGGUCUCAUUGUAAUGGGUGACCUACCCAGAUAAAAAAAUAAAACAUGAAGAAUGGUCGAGUUGUAAUGGGUGACCUACCCAAAAAUGGGAAAAAGGAAGAGUGGUCGUGUUGUAAUGGGUGACCUACCCAAGUGGAGGAGUGGUCUCAUUGUAAUGGGUGACCUACCCAGAUAAAAAAAAAAAAACAUGGAGAAUGGUCGAGUUGUAAUGGGUGACCUACCCAAAAUAGGAAAAAGGUAGAGUGGUCGAGUUGUAAUGGGUGACCUACCCAAGUAGAGGAAUGGUCUCAUUGUAAUGGGUGACCUACCCAGAUAAAAACAUGGAGAAUGGUCGAGUUGUAAUGGGUGACCUGCCCAAAAUGGAAAAAAGGUAGAGUGGUCGAGUUGUAAUGGGUGACCUACCCAAGUGGAGGAAUGGUCUCAUUGUAAUGGGUGACCUACCCAGAUAAAAAAAACAUGGAGAAUGGUCGAGUUGUAAUGGGUGACCUACCCAAAAAUGGAAAAAAGGAAGAGUGGUCGUGUUGUAAUGGGUGACCUACCCAAGUGGAGAAAUGGUCUCAUUGUAAUGGGUGACCUACCCAGAUAAAAAAAACAUGGAGAAUGGUCGAGUUGUAAUGGGUGACCUACCCAAAAAAAGGAUGGUGAGGGCUCAAAGGCGCACUCGAAAGGAGGUAGGGUUAGAAAACGCACUACCUAAGAAACGGUGGCUCAAAGGCGCACUCGAAAGGAGGUAGGGUUAGAAAACGCACUACCUGAGAUGUGAGGGCACAAAGGCCUACUCAAAAGAGAAGGUGUGAGGGCUCAAAGGCGCACUCGAAAUGUGGUGUAACACCAAUCUGUUAAUGAUGAAAGCAAUGCAUUAUGAUUGAUAUGCAUGUAUACUUACCUGAGAAAUAUAGGUCCCCAUUUCUUCAUGGUGUCUUUAUUUUCUCAAAAGUUGGAGUGUUGGUAGUGAACUUCGAUGGCUUUUUCGCUCUCGCUUACUCGAGUCAUCUCUUGUGAUCUUAACUUCUGGGAAGGGCUUGAUAUCAUCAUACUUCUUUGUCCUCCACCCUUUAUCUCAAGGGUUGCCAAUUUUGCCCGGCAUUUUCUUAGAAGGGAAUCAUGAAGCCAGCCCUACCAGGAGUUUUUUUUUUAUUGCCCCCCAGCUUGAUCAUGCCCCCAAGUAUUCAAUUCGGGUUUGCGGAUGAGGCUAUGUGAAGGAAGGUUUGACAAGGAGUUGUUUUCAUGCAGAAAUUUUUGGAAUUUCAAAGUUAUUCCAUACACAGAAUUCAUUUUGACAUCGAUUCAAAGCAAACUCAUUCUGAAGAAAUUCAAGUGAUUCCUAUGGAGAGGUUUUCAGAAGUGAUGAAAACUUUUUAUUUUGAUUUUGGUGAAAAACAUGAAGUGACACUUGGUUGGUCAAAAAGGUUUAAGAUUUAAUUUGAGGGUUUCAAAGAACCAAUGUUCAAAGCAUUCAUUUUAUUUGCAUGAAUAAUGACUUGGUUUGCAUGAGAAAGCACUGCCUACCGAUCCAGAUUGCUUGCAUUUGAUCAAAAAGGGCUUGAUUAGGCAUGUAAUGUAGGUUUGAGCUCUUGGUUAUGAAGAACUGGAUAUUUGCAAGCUCAAAAGGUGUUUAAGGGAUUUCAAAACUAAGGAUCACUUGUGCUUGUUUCCUGACCUUUUGUCUUUUGAAUGUCUUUCCAAAAUUAUCUAUUGUGCCCCCCCAGUGUUGGGCUUGGGCUCUUUCUCUUUGUUUUUGUUUUCUUCAUUUGGUUGAGCAUCUCAUUUUUUCUUUUUUCUUUUUUUUAUGCUCAAAAUUUUUUUUGGAUCCUUUGGAUUUUUCUUCAUGCCCCCAAGCUUUGUUUGGGCACUUUCAAACGUUGAGGUUUUUUCUAUGUCUCUCGCACCUGCCCCCCAGUGUGGGGUGUGAUCCUAGUCGAGGUUAUUUCCAAAAAACGUUACCAGGCUCAAAAGGGGACUGCAAAGGAUAUAUUUCAGCCUUGUGAAAGGAUUAUCAAAGAUGGCCUUUCUUCAUCUCAAAUGCAUGCAUUUAGGAUCGGUAAGCCUUGCUUUCAUGCGAGUAUGCAAAAUGAUUUCUCAUUAUUCAUUCAAAUAAAACUCAACUUUUAGAGUCACUUCAUGGUGUUUUUGUUUUUGUUUUUUUUUUAGGUUUUCUCGGAGUAUGGUUACCUUUCUAAGGAAUCACUUGAAUUUCCAGAACUGUUUGUUUUGGACAAACACCGACAUGAUUUCUGUUUUUGUACUAAACUUGGAAUUCCCAAAAAAAAUCCUUGUGAACAUGUAUGAUCGAUGCAUAAUUUUGGAGGGAAAAAGGGAAACACAUCAGUGGUUUCGUGGGUGAAGAUUGAGCUUAGUGUGUUAUUUGCAUGAAAUGGCAACAAAAAUAAAGGUACAUCAUGAAUACAGGAAAACAUAUGAUCUUAUUUAACAAGAAAGGCUCAUUUGACAGAGAAAGUCUUGUGGCAUUAUGAGCCGAAUUACCAACAAGACUGAAACAAGUUAAAAUAGACAUGAUCAAACAAAAUGAAAUAAUAGGGUCGACUUCAUUCUUCCAAUUUGGUAAAUCUUCUCUUAGGCUAGCCUCACCCACAACAACUCUUGUAGAGGUCCCAUUGACGGCGGGGACAAAAACUGUGGUCAAAAUUUAAGUUCUUCAAAAUUGAGGCUACUUUUUUUCGCACCCUGCCUUGACCAUCGAUGCUUUCUGAGCAUUCUGCCUCUAGUGCCUUUACUGAUCCACAACUUCAAGCAUGAUUAGGUAGAGGGUUCGUGUUCACAUUAGGAGCGUCUUCCAAUUCUAUCCACCCUGCCUUGAUUAAUUGCAAAAGCUUUCUCUUGAAGGCGUUGCAAGUAUGAAUGCUAUGUCCAACAACACCAGCAUGAUAUUCGCAAGUGAGCUCUGGCUUGUACCAAUUAGGGUAAGGUGGCUGCACAGGCGUCAGAGGUUCGGGAGCUACCUGCCCGAUGCUUACUAGCUUCUGGUACAUCUCAUUCAAGGGUAGCGGUAAUGGAGGUAGUUGUUCUUGGACCUUUUGGUAAUUUCCAAUUUGGCUUUUGGCUUGAAAGUUUUGGGGCUCAGGUUUUUUGAUGUCGGCAACUUGGGAUGGAGUGUGGUAGUUUUGGGAUGAGGUUUUCCUACCCUUAUAGUCGUCUCCAAUAUGGUUGACAUCUUUCCUUUCGAAGCCUCUUUUCUCGGUGGGUGCAGAAAUUCUACCACUCUUGACGCCUUGCUCUAUACGCUCACACACUACCACAGCGUCAGUGAAUUGUUGUGCCGAACUACCCAUCACAUGCUCAUAAUAUGGUGCUUUGAGUGUGUUGGCAAAUAAAGUGACCAUCUCCUUAUCCAAAAGUGGAGGAUGGACUUGAGCAGCUGAUUCUCGCCAUCUUUAAGCAUAUUCCCGUAUGCUUUCUUUGUCCCUUUUCUCUAGAUUGGACAAGCUGGUUCUGUCGGGAGCAAUGUCCAUGUUGUACUUAUAUUGCUUGAUAAAAGCAUCCAUCAGGUCUUUCCAUCUCCGGAUCUUUGUGUUAUCCAAUCUCAUGUACCAGCUCAAUGUUGCCCCACUUAAGCUAUCUUGAAAAAAGUGCAUCAGUAGUUUUUCAUCAUGUACUACUUCUGCCAUUUUAUUGCAAUAGGAUUUGAGAUGAGUCAUGGGGCAUUGUGUUCCACUAUAUUUGAUGAACUCCGGAACACGAAACUUUUUCGGGACAACCACAUUUGGGACCAGACAAAUCUCUGCUGCCCGUACUGGAUCAUAUAAGUCUACCCCCUCAAUUACUCUGAUUCUGGCUUCUAGCGCCUCCAUCUUAUCUUGAUCAAUUCUAUCAGAUGACUUGGCCUUGUGGGACUCAUUAGCAAAUGUAUUCAUGACUGCAGGGGCUGGUGCAGGUGUUGCUGACUGCACAAAUGUUGGAUUAUGUUGAGGCUCUUGACCAUGUUCGCUCAUUCUUUCUUCGGGCUGUGCUAUUGUUGGAAUCUGAUUAAAGGUGACCGGUCGGUUAGAAGGACCUUCACCAGAGGUAUUUCUUAGUGUUUGCUCGAGUAAGCUAGUGAGGCGAGCCACACUUGUCUUCAGAGACUCCAACUCUUCUUGAAAAUGGGCGUCACGGUGAGCGCGCUCUUCAUCUUCCAUGUUUCUCGCUCGAAGUCGGGUGUUGUAGACUCUUUGGGGACCUAUAUUUCAACCUGGAGCAUGUAUGUAUGUUAUUUACAAUGAAUGGAUGUAUGUGUACAAUGCAAAUGUAUGUACAUGCGUAUUAGGGAGUUCAUACUCUAAGGAUAGGUUUGGGCCAUUACAUGAUGGGUGGCUUUCUACCUGGUCUCAAAAGGAACUCUUGUUGUCCCAGUGAUCACCCUCAUGAAGGCAAUAUGGGGGCUCAGUAGGUAGUGGGAUGGCAUAUGCACCAAUCAUUACCAGUCUAAGCACUCAGCGAAGAGUUGGGGUUUACACAAACUUAAACCUUGACUAAAAGUCGUAAGGUAAGCUGCUAGUCCCCCACUUAACCUAAAGUUUUUUCAGUAUAAAUCGCCUCAAAUGUGAAUGAUGCAUGAAAUAAUUUUAUACAAUGCAUGAACAAAUAUGUACAAAAUUAAAGCAUAUGAGCAAAUGAGAAUGAAAGUUAACAAUAACACAAAACCAAACAAUAAAAAACGAUGAUCAGACAAAAACAAAGCUUAGUCCACAAGGUUCCCAGUGGAGUCGCCAUUCUGUCGCACGUGAAAUGCGUCGCGGCGAUCGCCCACCCACACUCAAUUGUGUGUGGGUCUGGAAAAUAUGGGGAGACAAGGAAUUCUUGUCUCUUAUCAGUGGAAAAAAUAGAAUGGGAGUCGCCACCUAGUAUUCUGGUCACUAGGAACCCUAACUGGUCUCAGAGAUCGGGUACGGAGACUGGUUGUGUAAAGGGAAGGUAUUAACACCCCAAAUACGCCCUACCUAAGGUAAGCUGCAUUGUUUUAUUUGUCUGAUCAAAAUCUAAGGUUUGGUCGCGUUUUCUAAUUGUUGGUCCUGGCUGUCUAAGAUUCAAGAAAAGCCCUCCUCAGUAAGGAGGUUCUUAUCUUAUGGGGCAAAGCCUAACCGUUCUAAUAUCUAUAAAAGAAAACUAUCUUUUUAAUAUCGGGAAUACGUUUUACAUAUAAAUUCAUAAUCCUUGAUAUUUAAAAGAAAAAACUAUUUUUUGAUUUUUUUGAAAUAUUGGCCAAGUUCUCGUGACUUUAAUAAAACGGUUAUUAAAGCCGAAAUGCAUGCUAAAACAUUUUUUUUUUUUGAAGUUUUCUUUGUUGUAUGAAAAUAUGAUGUAAUUUUUUCUUUAAGAAACUUGGCCGUAUGCAUGAAAACAAAAACAUUUUUUUUUUCAAAGUUUUGACGAAAACCAGGUAUUUUAAUACCGGAUUUGUAUCUUUAUGGUAUAAAAAUACAAACCAAUAUUAAACAAAAUUCCAUAACAAAAUACACGGGGAAAUCACAAAUUUUUCAGAAAAUAUUUUUUUGAAAAUUUUUGGAACUGGGCCAGACCCGGCCCAAAAAAAAAAAAACUAGGCCGAAUAAGCUACAGGGCUGGGCUGAUGUUCCAACCUAAAAGAACAAAAGGCCGGUUGCUGGUUACUGUGCUGAGAACAGUAACCAUUAAAUUAUAAUUAGGUGGUUACUGUGCUCUACACAGUAACCACCUAAUUAUAUUUCAUUUGCUGCAGAACGUGAAUUGCUCACGUUCUGCAUGCAAAUGAAGGCGAACCAAAAAAUGGACAGCAGUGGGGGAGGAGGGUUACCUGGAAUGAGCCUGGAUAGAUGGGCUGACGGUGGUGCUGGUGACCAAUUUGGCGGUGGUGUUGCUGCGGCCUUCUUCCUCCUCCCUGCUGUUUCGGUGCUGCUUUUUCUCUUUGUUUCCUUUGCUCCCUCUGUCAACAACGUUCUUCUCUCUCUGCAGUGGCUUCGUGGAGAUGCUGGUGGUGGCGGCCUGGGGGAGUGGCUUGGACGGUGGUCGGCCUUUCUUCCUCUUCUUCUCUGCGUUUUUCUUCAGCUCUGUUCGCCUUUGUUUCCGUUUCUUCCUUCUGCUUCUCACGGGGCUGUUGUCGACUGGGAGGGCAAUGGCAGCUGGCGGUGAUGCUGGUGGCGGUGGAGAGGAAUCCGACUAUGCCUCACGGUGGUUAUGAAGGUGGCAGUGGCUGGGAAGCCCGAUGACAGCAGCGGUUUUCUUCUUCUUCUUCCCCGUGCGGAGGCGCAGGUUGCUUCCUUUUCUUCAAUGGUGCAGCAACGGGUGGGAGGAAGAUGAUGAGUUGAGGAAGGCUGACUAUGGCGUGGGCAGUGCUGCUGUGUUUGUGCUCCUAGUGGCGUGGGUGUCGCGGCAGCCGGCUGUGGUCGCUCUUCCUCUUCUCUUUUCUGUCGUUGCUUCUUCUCUCUGUUUCUGUCACCUUGUUUCUCUCCAAACAAUUCUCUGUCUCUCUCUCUCGGUUUCCCCUUCUUUCUCUUUUUUUCUACUCCUUCUCUGUGUUGUCGUUCUCUUUUUUUUUACCCCUCUCAUUCGGCACCCCCUCCUCGGGUAUUUAUAGGCAAAGGAGGAGAGGUUCACCAUACCCUGUACAAGCACAGGGCAUGGUGGUCGGGGCAUGGGUCUUCUGCUUUUCGUCAUGGUGGGGGGCAUGGGUCUCCUGUUUCUCCAUUAAUGAGGGUAUGGGUUGUGUAAGUAGUUAGGCAAGUGGGGAGGUAGAGAAGGAGAGGGUGAGCGGGAAAAAGAUUUCAAAAAUCUUCUUCUCCCUUGUCUCUGCAUUUGCAGGGGAGAAAAGCUGCACAGUGCCGUUCAAAACAGCACCGUGCAGUUUUUUUUUUUUUUUUUUUUUUGAAGAAAAGGAAAAAAGAUUUGGGGUGACCCAAAAAUGGGUUAUGACAACCUUCUCCCAUAUCUUUGGUGAAAGUAAUUGCAUGGCUAAACAAGGAGUGCGGAGAUCAAGUGAAUUUGUUUCCUCGUUUUGACUCCACCAUUAAUAUUAUGGCCUUGCUUAUGUGUCUUCUGUUGUUAUGCUGUUGAGUUUAUUUUUGUUCUGUUUUGUAGAGGACUGCUUAGCUAUGAGUUCAUUCGGAUGGAUAUUCUCUGGUUUUCUUUGCUUUUACUUAUCUUAGACUGUGUUCUAUCUUCUUUAUGGCCUUUUGCCAUAUUAAGAUAUUGUGCAGCUUCUGUACUAAUCUCGCCAGACUUUGGCGUUUAAAUGAUAUAAGUAUCUUUAAAAAAAAACAAGAAAAGCAAGUGAUAUUUGAUCAAAUUUCUCUCUUUGUUGUGCGCGAUGCAUUAGGAAAAAGAAAAAAAAGAUGGCAUCUUUAUAUAACCCCAUUAAUAAGUUAAUAGAUUAUUAUCAUAUAAAUCAAAUUUAAAACUUAAUUUUUUGAUGAUUAGUUAAUAUGAUAUUACAGUAAUUUUAACUAGAAUGUACCAUCAAAUAAAUUUAUGCCCUUAUAAACAACGUGAAAAGAUUUAAUUUGAGCAGUAGCUAGCGCGCUACCUAGUAUAAUACAUCGCUGUCAUAGCAUGCAGAAAAGAGCUAGCAUAUAUAAAAAUAGUUUAAUUUAAAAUUCAUAUCAUUUUUAUCCAAACAAAGUGUUGACAAACCAAUCAAUAGUUGAAUUGCUGACUGACAGUUGACCAUUUCACAAUUUAUGUCUAAAUGGUCGGUGGAUAUAUAGCUGGAAGCAAAUGACUGAUUCAAAACACUUAUCAUCUACCUUUGGUGCAUAAAUUGUUCUAACCUCACUCUAUCUUAAUCACAUGUCUUUUAUCGAUCUAUUAAACGUCAACACAAACGAUGAACGUCCAAUAAUAUUUAUUUAUUAUAUAUAAAAAAGAAUGUUAGAAUGUGAUGGAUUGAAGAUAUAUGUCGAGGGAGAAAAUAGUGCGUAUCCGUGCAUGCACUUAAAUUGCCGUAAGAACAUACCCUUUCGUAGGGCACGAAAUUGGAGUAGUAAUUAAUGAAUGCUCCAUCACUCACUGAAAAGGGCCAAAUCUUGGAGAUGGUCACUACCAUCUCUAUCAGAAAAACGUGAGACAAUUGCUGAUAAGAGUUUGCUUUCGAAAGUCAUUAGUUGCUGAUAAUAUCUUGCUUGUUCAAACUAUAGAGAUUUUUCUUACUGAAAGUAUUGACCAACAAAAACAUUGGAAUUCAGAGAAUUAAAUUGUUUCUAGAACAAUUAUGUGAUAAAAAGAGAGUGAAACAAGACAAAUAUUAAUUAAUAGGAUAAUUAUAUACCAUGUUGCCACUUAGUAGAGCCAUGUUUUUGAAAUAAUAACCUAUCAAUUCUUUUAGUUAAAUCCAGUUAAUCUAAUAGAUUAAUUUAUAAAUUGAUUCACCUGAUGAGUGAGUUAUGAUUUUACAUAUAAAUAUUAAAAAAUAAUUCCAUUUUAACUUUUAAUAAGAAAAAACUCAUAAUUUAAAAUAAUAUUAUUUUAAAUUAUCUCCCCAAGGACAGCCAUAAGUAGCGAAAUAAAAUAGAAAGGGGAUCCCUGUCAUGAUGGUGGUUCCUUUUAUCACAGCAGACGGGGCCCUUUUACCCUUUUGUCGGGUCUUCCAAGAUUGAUUGCUGCUGGGGAUUAUUUAAUCCAUCUCUCGUAUCCAAGUCUCAAUCUAGUAAGUAUGUUUUCCGAUGAUUUGACAGUAACGCUUGCACUUUUGAGCAACAAUAAGGGACAAUUUCCCUCACGCAGGCCCCACAAUUAUACGGAGCUGGUGAAGCCUAUCAGAAUUCUCACGCAGGUAAGAACAUGGACCGGCCAAUAUGAACAAAUAUAUAGUAGGCCAAGCAAUUAUCUUUUCCUCUGCAGAAAUGAUUCUUAAUAUUGCUUUUAAGGUUUGACGGUUACACGUGCAAAUGCUUCAUGUCCUGAUCUGAUGGAAUCUUGGAAACCGUACCCAAAUGGACCUACUUCAAUCAUGAAAAAUUAGCUACAAAUCUCCAAUAGCAUAUUGGAAAAGUGAUAUAUGCCACUUCAAUAUUAGGCAUUCAUUAUAAUAAAAUUAUUUUGAAAUAUUUUUUUAGUUUUUUAUUUAGACAUGCUAUACAUUUUUAGAAAGGUUGAGCAUAUCUUGAUCUAGUGAAUUUGUUAUCUCUCAUUCCUUUGUCUUUUUUACAAAGUUUACCAUCUCAGUUCUUUUACGAGACUUUUUGUCGUAAGCAAUGUAAAGAAGGGGAAACUGUCAUAACUUAUUUGUGGGUUAUUUCUCAAAUUCAUCUUUUUUCUUUCCAAAAUAAAAAUAAAUAAUAAUAGUAAAAAGACUGAUAUUUUGACAAAAAGCAAUCUGGGAGGAUUUCAAAUGUAGAAAAAAUCAAGUUGCAAUAAUAAUUGUACCCUAUUUACCCAAAACUGGAGAGACAAUGCACAUUCAAGGUCUUUGUCAAGGCACUUACAUGGAUCCCUUCAAUAAGAAUUCAUUUGGGUGCACGAGCCCAUAAUAAAUUGAAAAAGUCAUGUUUAUUCACACGAGUAAAUUUUUACCCGGAGCCAUAGAUAGACUACCGGUUAGAAACUCAUCAAAACCUUUAAACGACAUUCAAAAUCACAAUGCAGAUUACCUCAAGUAGGGUGUGCUAGGGGUGUUAUUACCUUCCCUCACCACAAUCAGUCCCUUAAUCUUGAAUCUUUGAUAAAACCAAUAUACCCGGAUUUCCUAGCGAGAUUAAACCCAACAACUAGAUGGAGACUCCUUUGACCCCCGAUGCCACGCAUCCAUAUGCGACAGGGUGCGACUCCCAUGACCCCCGAUACCGUGUGUUAACGUGCAAUAGAAUGAUGACUCCUUCGACCCCCCUGACACCACGCGUCCAUGUGCAACAAUUACUACAAUGUUUUUUUUCUCAUCAAUAGAUUGUAGAGUCAGAUUCUUAUAAUGCUAUCAAUUGCAUUAGAGGAACUAAUGAUAUGUGUAUUUGGCGCUUGCAAGGUGCGUUUAAUGUUAUUUUCAAUACACGCAAAAAGUUCUCUGGUGUUGAUUUUCAACAUGUUCAUUGAGAGAAGAAUGAAGUUGUAGUCUGGCCAAGCAAGCAUUUUUUGGAGAUAUUGAUCCAGUAGCCUGGCUUUAGCUUUAUUCAGUUUUAUUUUUAAUGUAUGUGAUUACGUGUCUUUUGUUUUGUUGUAAGUUUCUGUUAAGUCAUGUUAUUAAUAACUAUAACAGUGCUUAAUAAAUCAUGUUAUUAAUAACUAUAACAGUGCUUAAUAAAUCAUUAGUAUUUCAUAUAUAAAAAAGUGGCUAUUAAAUGGUUCAGUACAUGGACCGGCACACAAAUGAACCCUUGAAAUUAUAAAGUUCGAAUGCUACUACCACACUUGUUCAAAAAUUUGUAUUUAAUAAGUAUUUCUUCCUAAGUUUAAAAUUUAUAAUUAUAUAACAACAAGGCUUUCUAACAACAAGGCCUUCUAAUGAAACAAAAAAAAAUCUCAGUAAUAUGUUAAAUACUAUCAUAAAUACUAUCAUAAAUAACCACUUAAUCCAAAAAAAUAAGUAUUGAUUAAGUCAAAAAGCCUUUGAUAACCUUUUAAAGAAUCACUCAACAAAAACUGUUAGGUGAGUUACUUAUUUAUUUGAUUAUUUUAUUAGAAAAAUUAUUUUGUACAUAUGUGUUAUCAAUAAUCACCAAAACUCUCGCAUAAUUAUGGCGACUUCGAUACGCAAAGGGUAUGAAGCUCGACUAAACUCUCGCAUGUAUGAAGCUCGACUACGGCAACAUUCGUUUAGAGAUAGUCUUAUAUUUUUUCCGAUCUUGAAAUGGUCGAGGGAUAUAUAGCUGGAAGCAAAUGUUUGACCGAAAGUGAUUCAAAACACCUAUCUCCUGCAAUCUUCGUGUGUAGUUUCCUCAUUUCCUUGCAUGAGUGAGGAAAUUAUGAAUAAUUAAUUUCUUCUUUAGAUGAAAGAGUUUGUCGGUGAUUGUAAUAUGUGUUUGGAGCUUUAAUUUUGUGAUUUUUGGUAACAAAAUUAUUUUGUGUUGUGAAUUACUUUAAAAACUUCAAUGAGAUGUGAUUUGAUUCAUCAGCUUAAACUGAAAUUAUAUAUUAAAAAAGAAGCAAAUCAUUUUACUCUAAAUUAUAUAUUAAAGAAGAAGCAAAUCAUUUUUCAGAGUAAUUUAAUUAUGUUUUUUCCAAAAGAAGAAGAAAUAGCGCAUGAGGUAGUGCCAUUGAAGCUUAACUCUCAGCUAAUUUAAUUUUGAAUGAUAGAAUUGUUAAAAAAUAUUGAUGAAAAAAAGCUUGCAAAUGCACAACAAAAUAGCAAAAAAAUGAAUGGAGAUAAAAUUUGAGAGAGAAAACCUAAGGAGGAUGAAAUUAAAAAAUAAUUCAAAAAUAAUAAAUAACAAUUAAAAGAACGAUGACAAAUUGAAAAGAUUAAAAAUCAUAGGGGGUGUAAUUGAAAAACAUUUGUAAUUUGAUAAAUUAUUUAUAGAUUAAAAAAUGAUAAAGGGUGAAAUUAAAAAAAAAACUAUAGAGGGCUAACCCAAUAGAAUCAAUCCACAAAAAAAAGGAUAAAAAUAAGAAAACAUCAACUUUAAAAAAAAGAAAAAAAAAACCUACAAACCCGAGUAAAUCUUCUAAACUUGAUCUAAUCUCUAAAACCAAAUGAAAAAGAUAAGACGAGAAGCCCAAGCUCGACGAUAGGGGGCAUAACGAAUCAUUUUACAAGUCAAUCCUAAGGUCUAGAAACACAUGGAUGGACCAAAAGGAGGUCUGCUAGCAAGCACUAGUGAUCCUUUCAUACAAUAAGGAAUAUAAUAUGUAUUGAUCUUUACUUCGUUCAAGAACUUUCUUCUAUCUUGGGUACUCCAAUGAGCUGUCUCAACUACGGCAACAUUCGUUUAGAGAUAGUCUUAUAUUUUUUCCGAUCUUGAAAUGGUCAAGGGAUAUAUAGCUGGAAGCAAAUAUUUGACUGAAAGUGAUUCAAAACCACUUAUCAUCUUUCGUGCAUAAAUUGUACUAACUUCAUUCUCUCUUUAUUCAAUGCCAUUUAUCGACCAAUUAAUCGUCCACAGCAGAAAAACCGAACGAUGAACGGGCCACAUAGAUAAUAUUUAUUAUAAAAAAAAAUGAAUGUUGAUCCAUCACUCACUGAAAAGGGCCACAUAGAUAAUAUCUUGGAGAUGGUUGCUAAGUAGCAUUUCUAUCCCAAAACCCUAAGACCAAUUCGACAGAAAAGAAAUUGAAAUUGCUUUGGAAAAACAUUAAUUGUUGAUAAUAUAUCGUCAGUUCAAACUAUGGAUAUUUUUCUUGCUGAAGUUGUUGACUAACAAAUCAUGGGAAUUCAGAGAAUUCAACAAUUAAUUAUAUGUCGAAUAAGUUUAUACAUCAAUAAAUAAUAAAUACAGAUUGAAACACAACAUCACGCAACAAGCUAGCUGGCUUACCAUAAGAUCACUGCUGAGUUCUCUAUAAAUACUUGCCACCCCUGUCACUACAAAUACAUAAAACCUUCUUUAACCUAAUUAUUUCAUAGCAUUAGUUUUCACUAGCCAUGGAAAUCUUCACAAAGCAACUCACCCCUAUUGAUUUUGGGAGAGGAUUGGAGCUACCACCCCGUUCUAACCUAGAACCCCUGCAACAUCUUCAAGGGACCAUAGAAUUGUCUACCAUAGUUGAGUCAGCUGCAGGAACCCGUUUACCGGAACCAGUGACAAUUCACUGCUCAACCAUAAGAGGAAGCCUUGUAUUUAAAACAGGUUGGUUUGGCAUUGCUCGCGAUUUUGCCCUCAAAAGUGGAGAUACUGUGACUUUCUAUCAGGAGGUUAACGGAGGAGCGCAGUUCAAAUUGAGAGUGAGAAAUGUUUGUUAAAGUAAAGAAGAAAUGUGAUGGAAACAGUGUCUUCCAUACAUGCAUGAACGUCCGAGUGCACGUCCUUCUGUUUCUUCUUUGUUCUGUCUCCUGCAAUCUUCGUGUCUAGUUUCUGUCCGGUGUCAGCAGUUGAGAAAACUUUUCUCAAAAUUAUCUCCUGCAAUCUUCGUGUCUGGUUUCCUCAAUUCCUUGCAUGUGUUAGGAAAUUAUGAAUAAUUAGUUUCUUCUUUAGAUGAAAGAGUUUGUCUGUGAUUGUAAUGUGUUUUGAGCUUUAAUUUUGUGAUUUUUGGUAACAAAA